rnacentral:rRNA from 1 species
CCUACGGGUGGCAGCAGUGAGGAAUAUUGGUCAAUGGCCGGAAGGCUGAACCAGCCAUGCCGCGUGAAGGUCAGUGCCCUAUGGGCGUUAAACUUCUUUUGUGCGGGAGCAAUAAUGGUCACGUGUGGCCAGACGAGAGUACCGUACGAAUAAGCAUCGGCUAACUCCGUGCCAGCAGCCGCGGUAAUACGGGGGAUACAAGCGUUUUCCGGAUUUAUUGGGUUUAAAGGGUGCGUAGGCUGUGAGGUAAGUCAGCGGUGAAAUGCCCCCGCUCAACGGGGUGAAGUGCCAUUGAUACUGCCUGGCUGGAAUGCGGAUGCCGUGGGAGGAAUGUGUGGUGUAGCGGUGAAAUGCAUAGAUAGCACACAGAACACCGAUUGCGAAGGCAUCUCACGAAUCCGCGAUUGACGCUGAUGCACGAAAGCGUGGGUAUCAAACAGGAUUAGAUACCCGGGUAGUC